rnacentral:snoRNA from 10 species
UGCCCGCUGAUGACACAUCCUUGCUCCCCGUGCCUGUUGGCUGUGGGUGACAUCCUGGCUGCCCUGGGCCAAGCCAGUGGGCUAAGCCUGGGGGCUGAGGGCA